UAAUUUGCGCUGGAAAAGCGGGUUCAACUUCAACGUCCACACCGUUACUACACUCCCGGAGAGCAAGCAAAAGCAUCACUCACCUACCCAUCAAUUAAACAGGCCAGCAUCAGUCCCUCCUAAUAAAAAAGCAUAGCAGCCCACAACAACGGCGCAACCCUGGCCCUGCCAGAGGGACGGAGAGACGUCCAAGACGGGGCUCACCACCAAUGACACCUUGAAGUUCAAUGCCCAGAUCCUCGAGUUCUUCCCCAGGGCAUCCGAGGCCCCCUGCCCGAUCUCUCCACUUACUACUACCCCUGCUUCCUGUUCGAGGAAUGUCCACAUCAAUGAUCUCCAGCAGGAGAUAGGCAGGUUAAACCUCCCUGACGAUGCAUCGAUCUUUGCUGCUCCUACACCACGGCCUUGCGCUGCUUCCUUCUGUCCCACCGUGACAGCCCACUAGCCGCAUUCUUUCCCUCUACACGCAUGACCAGCUGGUUACGUCAAUUUCACAGGAAACACUGGAUUGGGGUUUCUGCUCAAUUUGGCACUGUGUCCAGGCAUGCCCGAAGCUUCCCCCUGAGAUCGAUUUCAUCGUCGAUUUCGUGGUCGAUUUUGAGGUUGAGAUCGACAUCCCGGGCUCCCCCCUCACUGGGUCAACACCUCAGUGACGUCCUCAACGUUUUCGCCCUCUGUUUUGCGGUGGGGAUGGUGUUCAAUGGUGUCCUGAAGGUUGCACUGGCCGUCUCCCCUUCCUUCCCGUCAUCAGUAAUGUGUGUGUGGUGGCGGUUCCCCCUCCCCUUUGGUGAUUUUGCAGCGACCCUCUCCCUGAGUAGCGGCUCACAUGUUGGCGUGAGAUGGUGUCGGCAUUGGCGCUCUCACCGAUUGACCACAAUUGGCCUUGACCAGGAGCUUUGAUUUGCUCUGUCCCUCCUCGUUCUGGUGGUGGCAGUAUCGGCACAGGGGCUGUGCACUCUUCCGACUUGACCCAGACCGUUCGGCUUCUCCACCUUUCCGACCGGUCUCGGCUCCAAUGGUGGUCGCUGGUUUGAACUGGUCAAGGAGGCUUUGGCUCCCUUGAUUUGAUUACUUAGGACCUUAUUGUGAUAUAUGGUAUGAACCGAUCAAGGAUGCGUUGAGCUUCCUUGGUUUGAUUACUUAGUGCUUGAGCUGUUAAGGGUUAGGUUGACUGAUUAUGUCUGUUGGUAGUGAUUGUUGGUACGAUCUUGCGCUCGGAUAUCGGCUCGAGAUACCCUUACUAUGCUACUUCAUUAUGGAGUAGAAUUUCAUAGUGGAAUUAGGGUCCUCCUUUCCGAUUACUAUUGGGGUCAACGAUGAAAUAUUAUUAGCAGGUAGUGAUUGAAUCUAACGGUUUCAAGAUAGCAAACUAUAAUUGUAUAUGUUAUUCUUUGAUGUUUUCUCCUUUUAUCCUUUGAAGUUUGCCCGAUGAAUGAACCAUUAAUUUCCCUUCUUGUAA